CUACGGGAUGCUCCAGUGAGGAAUAUUGCACAAUGGGGGGAACCCUGAUGCAGCAACGCCGCGUGGAGGAUGACGCAUUUCGGUGUGUAAACUCCUUUUAUAUGUCAAGAAAAUGACGGUAGCAUAUGAAUAAGCACCGGCUAACUCCGUGCCAGCAGCCGCGGUAAUACGGAGGGUGCAAGCGUUACUCGGAAUCACUGGGCGUAAAGGACGCGUAGGCGGGCUUGUAAGUCAGGUGUGAAAUCCUACAGCUUAACUGUAGAACUGCUCUUGAAACUACGAGCCUAGAGUAUGGGAGGGGCAGAUGGAAUUAGUGGUGUAGGGGUAAAAUCCGUAGAUAUCACUAGGAAUACCUAAAGCGAAGGCGAUCUCCUGGAACAUUACUGACGCUAAGGCGUGAAAGCGUGGGGAGCAAACAGGAUUAGAUACCCCAGUAGUC
rnacentral:rRNA from 1 species